UUGGAAUCGCUAGUAAUCGCGGAUCAGCAUGCCGCGGUGAAUACGUUCCCGGGCCUUGUACACACCGCCCGUCACACCAUGAGAGUCGGGAACACCCGAAGUCCGUAGCCUAACCGCAAGGGGGCGCGGCCGAAGGUGGGUUCGAUAAUUGGGGUGAAGUCGUAACAAGGUAGC
rnacentral:rRNA from 1 species